CUACGGGGCGCAGCAGUGGGGAAUAUUGCACAAUGGGCGAAAGCCUGAUGCAGCAACGCCGUGUGAGUGAUGAAGGUCUUCGGAUCGUAAAACUCUGUCCUAUGGGAAGAAACAAAUGACGGUACCAUGGGAGGAAGCCCCGGCUAACUACGUGCCAGCAGCCGCGGUAAUACGUAGGGGGCAAGCGUUAUCCGGAAUCACUGGGCGUAAAGGGUGCGUAGGCGGCUUGUCAAGCCAGAGGUGAAAGGCAUUGGCUCAACCAAUGUAAGCCUUUGGAACUGACGAACUUGAGUGCAGGAGAGGUAAGUGGAAUUCCUAGUGUAGAGGUGAAAUUCGUAGAUAUUAGGAGGAACACCAGUGGCGAAGGCGACUUACUGGACUGUAACUGACGCUGAUGCACGAAAGCGUGGGUAGCGAACAGGAUUAGAUACCCGUGUAGUC
rnacentral:rRNA from 1 species